rnacentral:snoRNA from 20 species
GUAAAAUACAACACCCAGUAUUUUUGGCUGCUCGCGUAUCUCCCACUCAUGGGUAGUCUCUCUAAGCUGGUAGAUAGAUAUUUUAAUGAACCACUUAAGUUCCGUUGUGAAGUUUCUCGUCUCUUUAGGCUGUAUUUCAUGACACUACUGUAGUUCACACAUAU